rnacentral:rRNA from 1 species
GACGUAGGGCGCGAGCGUUGUCCGGAUUUAUUGGGCGUAAAGAGCUCGUAGGCGGCUUGUCGCGUCGACUGUGAAAACCCGUGGCUCAACCAUGUGGUCUGCAGUCGAUACGGGCAGGCUAGAAUUCGGUAGGGGAGACUGGAAUUCCUGGUGUAGCGGUGAAAUGCGCAGAUAUCAGGAGGAACACCGGUGGCGAAGGCGGGUCUCUGGGCCGAUAUUGACGCUGAGGAGCGGAAGCGUGGGGAGCGAACAGG